CGGACCGGCGCACGGGUGAGUAACGCGUAUGCAACUUACCUAUCAGAGGGGGAUAACCCGGCGAAAGUCGGACUAAUACCGCAUGAAGCAGGGGCCCGCAUGGGGAUAUUUGCUAAAGAUUCAUCGCUGAUAGAUAGGCAUGCGUUCCAUUAGGCAGUUGGCGGGGUAACGGCCCACCAAACCGACGAUGGAUAGGGGUUCUGAGAGGAAGGUCCCCCACAUUGGUACUGAGACACGGACCAA
rnacentral:rRNA from 1 species